UGAAAUGAGUAGCCGGUACCGAUGGCCGGCCUCCAUCGAUAUUUUAAGUCCUGACCACCCAUCUCUUCUCUCCACCGCACAGACCCCCACUCUCUUAUCCUCUCCACCGCCCAGCACCCAUCUCUUCUAUCUUCUCCCCAUCCCUCCUCUCUCCCACGCCAAAGAGGUCAGGCUGGUGGAUCGAGGUGGCGUGGUGCUCACCCUGCCCGACGAAAAGCUUGCGGGAUGCAGGAUGCACUUGGCGUAUGCUCGGUCCCUGUUCGUGGAUGGUCCGGCGGCGGCUCCCUCUUGCGGAUCCAGGCAUGAAGCGGCCAGAUCUGGCGAGGAGGCAUCACGCUUAGUCGCUUGGACGCCACGGAGGUGGCAGCGAGCAGUCGUACGGCGGGGAGCCACUAGCCGCACCAGACGGAUGGGCCGCACGGCCAGAGCAAGCCAUGGCCAUUCCCAUGCCUGUACCCGCCGAGCACCAUGCAGUUCCCCUUCGAGGUAAGCUAUAUGCGAGCCUUUCUUGCUAAUCUGCUGCUCCACAUUUCGAUUCAGAAGCUCACGCACUCUCUGGCAUGCGCGUGGGAGCCGACCGCCGCCGCCGACGCCGUGGGGCGCACUGGCCGCCGCCGCGGGAGCUGGCGUGGGGCGCUCGGGCCGCCACCGCCGCCGUGGGGCGCGCGGGCCCCCACAGCUGCGGGAGCCGGCCGCAGCCGCCGUAGGCCGCGCAGGCCGCCACCGCUGGUGUCUGCGGGAGCCGGCUGCCGUCGGGGGAGUGAGCGGGCUGACGCCGCCGCCGGAGCAGGACGGGAGCCGGCCGCGUGGGUGAUUUUUUCUCUUUUUUUCUUUUUUUCAGAAACAGAUAUGUAUAUGGGAUUGUAUUGAUUGGAUGUAUCUUGUGAACCAUUCUUUGGAUGAUUUGUGAGACAUAUGGCUAUUUUGUUCGAUGGAUUUAAUAUCUGAACAUUCUUUGGA